GCCUGGUUGGCUCAGUCAGUUAAGCGUCCGACUUCGGCUCAGGUCAUGAUCUUGUGGUUCGUGGGUUCGAGCCCCACGGCAGGCU
rnacentral:tRNA from 1 species